rnacentral:rRNA from 1 species
CUUUCGGGCGGGGAUUAGUGGCGAACGGGUGAGUAAUAAAAGGGACAAUCUGCCCUGCACUCUGGGACAAGCCCUGGAAACGGGGUCUAAUACCGGAUAUGACCGUCUGCCGCAUGGUGGAUGGUGUAAAGCUCCGGCGGUGCAGGAUGAGCCCGCGGCCUAUCAGCUUGUUGGUGAGGUAGUGGCUCACCAAGGCGACGACGGGUAGCCGGCCUGAGAGGGCGACCGGCCACACUGGGACUGAGACACGGCCCAGACUCCUACGGGAGGCAGCAGUGGGGAAUAUUGCACAAUGGGCGAAAGCCUGAUGCAGCGACGCCGCGUGAGGGAUGACGGCCUUCGGGUUGUAAACCUCUUUCAGCAGGGAAGAAGCGAAAGUGACGGUACCUGCAGAAGAAGCGCCGGCUAACUACGUGCCAGCAGCCGCGGUAAUACGUAGGGCGCAAGCGUUGUCCGGAAUUAUUGGGCGUAAAGAGCUCGUAGGCGGCUUGUCACGUCGGUUGUGAAAGCCCGGGGCUUAACCCCGGGUCUGCAGUCGAUACGGGCAGGCUAGAGUUCGGUAGGGGAGAUCGGAAUUCCUGGUGUAGCGGUGAAAUGCGCAGAUAUCAGGAGGAACACCGGUGGCGAAGGCGGAUCUCUGGGCCGAUACUGACGCUGAGGAGCGAAAGCGUGGGGAGCGAAACAGGAUUAGAUACCCUGGUAGUCCACGCCGUAAACGGUGGGCACUAGGUGUGGGCAACAUUUCCACGUUGUCCGUGCCGCAGCUAACGCAUUAAGUGCCCCGCCUGGGGGAGUACGGCCGCAAGGCUAAAACUUCAAAGGAAUUUGACGGGGGGGCCCGCAACAAGCCGGGCGGAGCAUGUGGCUUAAUUCGACGCAACGCGAAGAACCUUACCAAGGCUUGACAUACACCGGAAACGUCUGGAGACAGGCGCCCCCUUGUGGUCGGUGUACAGGUGGUGCAUGGCUGUCGUCAGCUCGUGUCGUGAGAUGUUGGGUUAAGUCCCGCAACGAGCGCAACCCUUGUCCCGUGUUGCCAGCAGGCCCUUGUGGUGCUGGGGACUCACGGGAGACCGCCGGGGUCAACUCGGAGGAAGGUGGGGACGACGUCAAGUCAUCAUGCCCCUUAUGUCUUGGGCUGCACACGUGCUACAAUGGCCGGUACAAUGAGCUGCGAUACCGUGAGGUGGAGCGAAUCUCAAAAAGCCGGUCUCAGUUCGGAUUGGGGUCUGCAACUCGACCCCAUGAAGUCGGAGUCGCUAGUAAUCGCAGAUCAGCAUUGCUGCGGUGAAUACGUUCCCGGGCCUUGUACACACCGCCC